GCACCCACUUAUUUAACACCUUCUUAUCCGCCUGGCCCCUGUCUGCUCGGUUUUGGGUUGGGGUGACCGCGGAGCAUAAAAUAGCCUCCACGAAAGAAGGGAUGAUUCCCUCAUUUUAGAACUACACUUCCAAAGACUAACAAAUUAAUUUUAAGUGAUCCGAUACCCGUAUUCGAUCAACGAACCAAGUUACCCUGGGGAUAACAGCGCAAUCUACCUCAAGAGCCCCUAUCGACAGGUGGGUUUACGACCUCGAUGUUGGAUCAGGGUAUCCCAGUGGUGCAGCAGCUACCAAAGGUUCGUUUGUUCAACGAUUAAAACCCU
rnacentral:rRNA from 1 species